GAAAAAAAUAAUAAAACUACCAAUUUUGCGAUACAGAGAAAGAGAAAGAGAAAGAGAAAGGGAAAAAGGGGAAAAACCUACUCUCUUCAUAUCAGUCUUCUUAACUUUUUUCCUCUCUAAAAAAAACCCUAGCCAUACUACGAUAGAGGCGAUCUCUUCACAUCAAACUCCGCUAGGAGAAAAGAAAAGAAAAAAAAAAGAAAGACUUGCGCCACACUUGAGAUUCGAUUGAUCAUCGCUAUCCCCUUUUGAGUUUUCCAGACUCUGCGAACCAGUGGAUAUUCGUACGGUCGGCCGCUGCCAUACCCUGCCGGGCUUAGACCAUCACAAUCGGCAUCCGUCAAAGCUAAAUACGAUCAAACGCCCCAUAGGUUUUGAGAUACGGAGUUAGAGAUUGGCGCUAUUUUGACGAAAGUGCAUAUUGGCAUGACCAGCAUGAAGAUUUAUUGAGUUUUUUUUAAUGCCUCUUAUAAGUGUUGAAUACAAGUCCAAGUACAAGAUGAAACCGGAUCAACCACAUUCAUAUUGUUUGACAAAGGAGCUGAGAAAAUUAUUGCUAAAACUGCAAAAGAACUUGCAGAGAUGCAAGAAGAGAUGUUGAAAUUAGAUGAGAAUACUUUACCAAAAGAGAUUCAAAAAAUAAUUGGCAAUGAAUAUUUGUUCCAACUGCAUCUUGAUGAAUAUAAUUUGAAGUAUGGAAAAGAAAAUUACACGGUCUCAAAAAUUUUGGAGAUGGAAGUUUUACAUAAGCAAAAAGACUCAAGUAAAGUUGAAGAACAUCAGGAAACAAUGGAGGAAAUUGUAAGAAAAUCAAGGAAGGACAAGUACAUAGCCAAUCAAAAAAUAGAAAUAGGAGAAACAUCUGUUCAAAGACCUGAAAGAAUGCCGCUCCAAAUGCUUCAAAAACGUCCAAAAAGUACUAAGCAAAUUGCUACAAAGAAGAAAAAACACUGAACUCUUUUGUAUAUACUACCUUACUCUACAAGUCUUUAUGUAUUUUAUAGUAUUGCUAAUUAUUAUUUUUUUAACUUUACAAGACCAAACUGAAUGUACUGAAUAAAGCUGACAGAUUAGAACAGCGUUACUAUAAAAUGUAAUUAUGUUUCACAAUUUAGUAUGUUAGACACUGUGAUAGCCCAAAAUGGUUGAUUUCAAAGUGUAUAAGCUGAAUGAAGAAUGUAGACAACAGGAUUUGCUUUAUUAAAAUAAAUAGAUUUUCCCCUAUUGUUUAGUUA